rfam:Hordeum vulgare subsp. vulgare, WGS project CAJW01000000 data, contig: morex_contig_2548693
UACAUACUCCCUCCGUCCCAAAAUNNUUGUCUUAGAUUUAUUUAGAUAUGAAUGUAUCUAGUCAAAUUUUAGUAUUUAGAUACAUUAAUUUCUAGACAAAGCUAAGACAAGAAUUUUGAGACGGAGGGAGUACGUA